rnacentral:rRNA from 1 species
AUUGAACGCUGGCGGCAGGCUUAACACAUGCAAGUCGAGCGGGGGAAGGUAGCUUGCUACCGGACCUAGCGGCGGACGGGUGAGUAAUGCUUAGGAAUCUGCCUAUUAGUGGGGGACAACAUCUCGAAAGGGAUGCUAAUACCGCAUACGUCCUACGGGAGAAAGCGGGGGAUCUUCGGACCUUGCGCUAAUAGAUGAGCCUAAGUCGGAUUAGCUAGUUGGUGGGGUAAAGGCCUACCAAGGCGACGAUCUGUAGCGGGUCUGAGAGGAUGAUCCGCCACACUGGGACUGAGACACGGCCCAGACUCCUACGGGAGGCAGCAGUGGGGAAUAUUGGACAAUGGGGGGAACCCUGAUCCAGCCAUGCCGCGUGUGUGAAGAAGGCCUUAUGGUUGUAAAGCACUUUAAGCGAGGAGGAGGCUACUCUAGUUAAUACCUAGGGAUAGUGGACGUUACUCGCAGAAUAAGCCACGGCUAACUCUGUGCCAGCAGCCGCAGUAAAAC